GUCUAUGGCCAUGCCACCCUGAACAAGCCCACUGUCUGAUCUCAGAAGCUAAGCAGGGUCAGGCUUGGUUAGUACUUGGAUGGGAAACCACCUAGGAAGACCAUGUGCUGUAGGCA
rnacentral:rRNA from 1 species